AUUGAACGCUGGCGGCAGGCCUAACACAUGCAAGUCGAAUGGUAACAGGAAACAGCUUGCUGUUUCGCUGACGAGUGGCGGACGGGUGAGUCAUGUCUGGGAAACUGCCUGAUGGAGGGGGAUAACUACUGGAAACGGUAGCUAAUACCGCAUAACGUCUCAAGACCAAAGAGGGGGACCUUCGGGCCUCUUGCUAUCAGAUUUUCCCAGAUGGGAUUAGCUAGUAGGUGGGGUAACGGCUCACCUAGGCGACGAUCCCUAGCUGGUCUGAGAGGAUGACCAGCCACACUGGAACUGAGACACGGUCCAGACUCCUACGGGAGGCAGCAGUAGGGAAUAUUGCGCAAUGGGCGAAAGCCUGAUGGAGCAAUGCCGCGUGUAUGAAGAAGGCCUUCGGGUUGUAAAGUACUUUCAGCAGGGAGGAAGAAAGGAAAGUGAAUACAUGUACGCAUUGACGGUACCCGAAGAAGAAGCAACGGCUAACUCCGUG
rnacentral:rRNA from 1 species